GGAGACGUAGCUGAGAUGGUUAGAGCGCCGGCCUGUCACGUCGGAGGUCGCGGGUUCGAGCCCCGUCGUCUCCGCCA
rnacentral:tRNA from 1 species